rnacentral:rRNA from 1 species
UACGUAGGGUGCAAGCGUUGUCCGGAAUUAUUGGGCGUAAAGAGCUCGUAGGCGGUUCGUCACGUCGGCUGUGAAAUCCCGAGGCUCAACCUCGGGUCUGCAGUCGAUACGGGCGGACUUGAGUACUGCAGGGGAGACUGGAAUUCCUGGUGUAGCGGUGAAAUGCGCAGAUAUCAGGAGGAACACCGGUGGCGAAGGCGGGUCUCUGGGCAGCAACUGACGCUGAGGAGCGAAAGCGUGGGGAGCGAACAGG